rnacentral:lncRNA from 1 species
UUUGUUUUGUAGUUAUCCUUUGGAUGUGAUUUUUUAUGUACGGAAUGUUUUGAAUAAAAAGGUAUUUUAUUGAAUGCUUUCUUUAGUCACUCAAAGAAAACCAUUACAAGUAAUUAAGAAUUACUACUAAUUAAAUAAAACACAUAACUAAUUUUUAAAACAAAACAUUAAAAUACAAUGAACUUUAAAAAAAACAAAAAAAACAAACUUACUUAAUGGUUUUGAUCAUUUAACCAAUCCGUGUUGCUAGGUCCAUCAUCACGGAAAAGUCUUCUUCUCAUAACAUCUCAUCGUUCUAGCUUUCAAAAUUGUUUUGUUUCAGGGGACAUAUGGGUUGUAUCCAUGGCCAUGGUUUCCCGAUCCUUCUUCUCAAUGUUUUCUUUGAGUACAUAUUCCCUUUCUUUUGCAUAUUCUACUUGAAUUGCCCUCUCGUCUUCUUUGGUUUUCAUGUCUAUUUCAAUUCUCAUGGCGCUUUGCCUUGCAAUUUCCUCCAAAAAUUUAGAUGUAUUACUAGUAGAAUUAUUCCCUCUCUUUGCCUUUGCCACCUUUCUCCCAAUAGGCCUCGGCUCCUUUUGGAUGGAAUAUAUAAACAAAUCCGAUGCCGGUGAAUCAUGGAAUGGCAUCUCGUUCAACACCACGGUUGGACCCGUUGAAAUAAUUCGAAAUCUC